rnacentral:misc_RNA from 1 species
GCAGGCAAAAUGUUCCUAAAUGAACCAACAUUCUACAGAAAGCAAAAAAAGAAAUUACAUAGUUGAUUGUCCAGUAUUUCAUAUGCAAUUCAGUCCCAACAAGGGAAGUGGAGGAAAUGGGGGAAAAGUCAUUGUAAUAUUCAUCAUGGCAAAAAUUGAGGACCACAUAGCCCUUUCUAACUUCUUUAUUCAAGGCAUUCGGCACGUCAAAUAUUAGUGGGAUCCUUCACCAACUUUCUCUUCCUUCUCCUCUUUCUUUCCCUUUGUGAAGAGCUUAUAACCUCCAUAGAAGGCCAACCCCCAACCAGUAAGAGAGACGAUCACAAAAU